UCUGUCUCUUUACUUAUGGGUGUUUCCCUCUCUCUCUUUCCCUUCCUCUCUCCCUCCCUCCCUCUCUCUUCCUUUCUCCCUCUCUGACAAAAGGCUUGUGGUAAGGCCUUCCUGGCAUUCAGAAGGUUAUAGCUUUUUAAUUUUUGUGACUCAUGAGGAUUUGGAUAGAAUACAAAUGCUGAAGGAGCCCACACUCCUGUAAGGUUAAGCAUUUGGAGAGCAGAACUCUGCAGCUAAGGGUUUUCCUUUCUGCCACCUCCCUACUCCCCCCUUCCCUCCUCUGCUUUUUCUUCUCUUUUCUCUACCCCUCCUCCCUUUCCUUCAUUAUUAUGUCUAUGGAAAAGUGAGCAAGAUUGUCUCAAGCGAGAGUGUGGCCUUCUGAACAACAGUGCUGCUUUGCAGUGAUUCUCAUCUUGGGAUUGUAUCACUUGCGGGGCUGCUUUGGAUUCCCAGGGUGGCUGCUUCCUUCUGUUUGCCUUUUGCUUGUCUUUCUAAGCUUGUGGAUCUGGGACUCAUUGGAAAAAAGUUUACCUUUCCAAAGGUCUGCUUGCAAACUCCUUGCCGGGAUCGACUGUAAUUGGCUGUCACAAAAGUGUUAGCCUGGGGAUUCCUUUACAAAUAUAUUAAAUCAUGGCUAUGUAGUUGAUUUUUUUUAUUAGGUGGCGGCUCUUACAAUAAAGAUUAAAUGUAAUUAGUAUCACUUAUAUUACUUUUACUAUCAUCCCAUGGUUACUUUGAAGAUCUUAAAAAAACAAAUGUCAGGAAUUGCAGUAGACAUUUUGUUGGAAUAAUGUUAGUUUUCUGUGUGAUUGAAUUUUAUCUUUCAAAGAAAUGUUUUGUAUAAUUCUUUAGUCAGCUUAGACAGUGACUGUAACAGGAUUUUGGGUUGCAGCUCUGCAUAUAUAAUGAAAUAUUCAGUAAUUUCCAUAACUCAGAGUAGAGUGGGUUAACAGAAACUGUAUUUUUUUGUUUAUAAUGGAAGCUUUGAAAUAAAUUACAAAAUGCUGUGUGUAGUAAGGAAUAAUGCACACAGACAGAGUAUGUUAGUCGUCUCGAUUUGCUAAUUCUGAUUCAGAAGAAAAUUGAAACCAUCUUUGGGAAACUAUCUCUUCUUUUGCCCUCUUGGACAUGUAUGUCUAGAGCUCAUUUUCUUAUUAGGAUGAUUAUAUAUCAUAGGCAGUGAAUUUCACAUUUAUGAAUAGAGCUUCCUGUUUUCAUCAGUUGGGAGCGAUGGAAGAUUUUUCAACAAACAUUAUAAAGGCGAGCAGACCAAUUUCCUAGGCAUUUUUUGCCAUUUAUCCACGCCACUCUGAAUUUGCAUGUUAGAUUUCUUCCUAGUGUGAUGCUAACCAGGAGUGGCAUGGAAUGGAUGGCUGUGAAGGUGGGUGGGGACAUGGAAGUACAAAAAAUUGUUUAGGGUGUACAAUAGAGGUAAGAGAGAGUGACUCAGAGGGUGACAGAAGAAAAACUUCCUUGUGAAUGUCCACCUCCAACAUAGCUCAUUAUCUGUUUUUAGUUUCUCUUGGUUAAAGUUAUCUAUGAAAUCAUGUUCAUAAGAUUCUUUAAACAUUUUUUUCUCCAUAUGCUGGAAAGACAUGGGAAUGAUUUUAACCCUUUGUUUUUUUAAGAAUCUAGAUUUUUUUUCAGAAUAAACUUUUAAUGACAAAACCACAGAAAUACAUUCUGUUGUUUGAUUUUGAGGCUAGACUCAUGUUUUACUGUAAAACAGAUCUUUACACUGAAGUUUUCAUUUAGGGUCAUUAUUCAUGCAGAGGAGAAAAAAGUUACUCUAUUAUAUCCUCUUUCAUAAAUAAAGUGUGCCAGUGUGAUCUUUAUCUCUAUUAUUCAAAGUAAAUAAAGGAGGGUUUUGUCCAUAUAAUUUGUGGAGUUUCUGAACUUAGUUCCAUAUGUACAUGGAAUCGCAGCACUUGGCAGUUGAAGAUGUUUGGGUAGUUGCUUUAGGAUAGUAAGCAAAUGCUUUUCUUUUAGAGUGCCCAGGUCUUUUAUGUCCUAUUUUUUCAUGGAAUAUUUUUUCCUUACAUUUUUUUUUUAAAAAGAUUUGUACAUUUUGGUCAUUCAAAUUGACCUAAAAUGAAUUUGAAUAUAUUUUCCCACCAUUUCAUUUGUCUUGUAGUCACAUGGUCUUUUUUGCAGGUAACCUAAACCUGUUUCCUGUGUCUGUGAGUUAAGGUCUGUAGCUCAUGAUACAAGAGGUUAGUAGACACUGCUCAACGCAGCCUUUAUGUGUUGUGUAAAGUCCAUCCCAUUCUGGCAGGACAAAAACAGGAAUGUUACAUUUGUGGUUAAAUUUAUGCAUUCAUUGUCCACGCACCCCUCCUAAUUCAAACUAGACAGGAGCAACCUGUACACUGUUGUGGGAAUAUACAGACAGCACUGGUGAGUGGCAACAGCUUUGAUAUUGACUGCGUUUCCUUAGAAAUGGCUGCUAGGGAUGAAGAGAGGGAGCCAGCUUUGGAAAAGCCAUGGCAGAAAGCUCUUGUUUAAAGACUUUUACCAUGCUCAUAUUCAGAAAUGGAAACCACAGACUCUUUUUAAAGAUCUUUUAAAUGUAAUCCUUUUGAAGGAUAUGCUAGCAAUUGCUGUGAAGUAAGCAACAAGUUUAAUUGUACCCUAUAAAUUCUGUAUUUUAAUGCAAUGACAAUGAGAUAUAGCUUUAAAUUUGAAAUCAGUCUUAAAUCAUGAAAUUAGUGUCUUGUUUUCUUAUUUUACAAUUUAAUAAUUUUUUCAAAAUUGUCAAAGUUCUUAAAAUAUCAAGACAUUUGAAUCUAACAGUAUAGUAAUAUUUUAAAUACUAUAUAUUUCUUCAGUAUUACCAUUUGAAUUAAUUUUUAUUUGCUCAGUUACUGCUUGCAUUUUAACGCAGUAGCCUUACUUUACCAAUACUGUGCCAAUAUCUGUGUUCUAAAAAAUGAUUACUUUGGAUGUAUAGUUGUUGCUUUUCUAUUCUUUUAAUCAAAACAGUAAGAAAAUGAUUAACAAACUCUAGAUACCCACUCUGGCUUAAAAUAUUCUGCUUAUGAGACUUGGGCUAGGGACCUUCUUAAUUCAUUUUAACAAUAUUUAGUAAUUUAUGUUUUCUUUUGGUGGGCAAUUUUUCUUUUUUCAAGUUUAAUACAUAGCAUCUUUAAGUUCACCUAGCAUUUAUCAGACUUUUAUUAAAGACGCGAAAUUGUUCUGUGUUGGCAAAACAUUAUAGUUUUAUAUUUUAACUUAUGAUUAUGAGAUAUUAAUGCUCACGCCUUUAUAUACAAAUAUACAAGUGCAUAUCUGGUUGUGAGUGCAGAGAUUUUUUGAACUUGGCUAUGAGGUUUUAAGUUAGAUAAUAUUUUUAAAAAGGAUCACAAUUUUCUUGUUUACUGAUUUCAUGUGUGUGUACUCCUGGCAGUGGUCUUUCUAAGUGUGAUGUAAUAUGCAGAUUAGAUGCCCAAAGAGAACAUCCUAAGUUAUUGUCCACAUCUUACCUCCUCCCUCCUCCUUUCCGUCCUCCCCUUCCUCCAUCCCUCCCCCUCCUAUUGUCCCUCCUCCUUCAUUUCUGUUCCUUUCUUUUUUCCUUUCUACUCCAGCUCCAGGCUUUUUUUUACUUUCUUUUCCCGUGCUUUCACGUUUCUGUAUAUUCAGAAUUUCUUAAAAUUCUAUUGAGGAAUACUAACAUCUUAGCACUCACUAAUGAGUACCUCAUAGGUCUGAAGUGUAGCCCUUUGUUCACACUGCCAUGUACUGUACCUCAGGUCUCAGAGACCAUUGGCAGCUCUGUCCAGGAUGUUUUGUUUCCGCCAAUCUGUCCCGCGACACUUUCCUUUAUGCUGUUUUACUUAGGCAUACUGUUUUGCACAACAUUAGCACUCUGAUGCUAACUUCUUCUGGGAUUACUCUCUGAAGAGUGGUGGUCUAUACUUCUGUAAUGUAGCUGUAUAAAAUAUUUUAUGUUUCUUAUAAUUAUUAAAGCAAUUCAUCUUUGUGUCAUUUUUGUAAAAUUUUUAAAAACAGUGACAACUUGCACAAAAUGUGGGAAACAUGCUUGUAUGGUAGCCAAGGAUGUGGCCAGACUAAAGCAGGAAACGACUACCCACAAUGCAAUGUUACAUACACUACCACUUAAUAAAAUUUAUAUCAAACAUGCUUCUGACCAAACCAAAGAAAAAUAAUAUCUUAGCCAUGUAAGUUGGUUUAUCUAGGGAAAAGCGAAACUAACUUUUGUGCUUGCACAGUAAGGGUAAGUGUGGGACAGCCUAAUACAUGGGAACCUUGAUUGUCACUUUGUCUUUGUGGUUUAGGACUUGACUGCAGGUGACAUUAUUCUAAAGUGAGAACUUAAUGGUGUCACUUGACUUGGAAAAGGCUCUGUAGGCCACCACUCUCUUGUUUGCUUGAAUUGUUCCUGUAUUGAACAGAGUUAGAGGAUCUUGUCAACCACAAGGCAACAAAGUUACAAUUUUAGAUACUGUUGGUCUUAUGUAAGCUUUGUAGAGAGCCAGGUGCAUGUUUUUAGUCUGAUUUAUCAUUUGUUGUUGUGUAGUGGGCAGGGCUUGAAUCAAGCCCACUGAGGCAUACUUCUUUUCUGAGUACAAUUGUCUCUCUCACUAUUGUAUCUAUACCUUCCCCUUCUGUCCAUGAACUUGAGGAAGUCAAGGUAAAGCAAAAGUGAACUUAUAUGAUGUGUCUAAAAAUGUAUCAAUGUAUCAUAAAAAAUCAUCUUUUAAUAUAUUUAAUGUUCCCAUUUUAAGUCUUCAGCUAUUGAGCUUUCAGUUGUCAAACUUCAGCAAUUUUGAUGAAUUUAAUACCUUGAUAAUUUACAUGUAUUUUAAGGUUUUACAAAGGAGGUUGGCCAAAAAUUAAAAGGGGGUAUAGUUUUUAAAUUGGCAAAUAAUGUAAAGAGAUUUUAUUAGAUGAUUACGAAAGACUGUCAAUAUCACUUAUGAAUGGCCCCUCUGCAUAUUCCAGGAUGCAUGGAUUACCCAUGUUUUUGGAACAUCUCAGCAUUUAGAUUUGGGUGUUGUUGUCUAUAUCUCUUUUAAGGAUGAUUUGCUUAAUUGUUGGAGUUCCCCUCUUUAGAAGAUGCUUAUCAAGAACAGCUGUCACAGCGUGGCUUUCUCCACGGACUCAUGGUGGUCUUUGGAAGAAUGUUCCUCAAGUUUGACAGAAUUCAGCAGUUAAAAAAAACAAACAAACAAAUGAAACAAAUGAAUGUGUGUAACUGAGAGAAUCCAUCCAUAGGACAUUCUGAAAAAGCCAAAACAGCAGAGGAAUCUCAGAAGAUUGGCAGAACCUUUUCUUUUUGGACAAGUACCAGUGGACUCUUAGUAAGACUUUCCUUCUUGGCCUGGCUGCAUUUGAACUCUUCAGCUUCUCCUUCUGUUAUUAGUGGCUACUGCCAGAGUGACUUAGGCUGCCUGCCUAUAACAGCAUUCAGGAGCAGGGGCAUCUGGAAGACUCUUCAGGUAUGGCCCCAGGCAUUAACACCCCCUUCCCCCUCCCCCCUCCCCCCCACUGAAAGAAGGAUCCCACUGGCUAGAUGGGAAUCUUAGAGCAGAUGCCUGCCUAUGAGUGAUGCCUGUGGGUGGGUUACCACCUUUCCAUCUGUCAAGCAGUCAUGCCAAGACUGCCACCCUGCUGUUGCUUCAACUGUCAAGCAGUUGUUGACUGGUGUUUGCAUUUAAGAAGCUGGACCCUGGGGCUUGGCACAAGUUGGGAUGUUUGGGAGCUCCAUUCUAGGUAUCAGAGCUGGGUAUGAGCUUUUGAGGUACCUCCAAGGCCACCAGAACUUUUCCUCUGCCAAACUUAGAAGUCCAGUGUCAGGAUUAGAGGUACCAGAUGCAGGGCAGUACUAGGCAGUGUUGGGUUUGCAUGGCUCCAGAAACUGUCAGAUUCUUCCACACCUAUGGAAUCUGUAGGUCGCAAGCAUUGACUGGAUGGGCACACCACAUGUGCACAGUGCCUAUGUGGUGUGUUGGUUCCUAGGUACUGCUUUCUUACCUUGGUGCUUGCUCAGCUCUCAAGCCUCUCCAGUUCUCACUAUUGUUGCUUUGAUUCCAAUUCAAAUUUGGCUACUUUUGAAAGUAUCCAAAACAAAACCAUAUAAGAGCUACUUUAUUAGAUCUGAUGCUGUAAUACCAAGGGAGAUAGGACAGAGUAGUGCUCCUCAAGCCUGCUUAUGUAGCCCCCAAAGAGAUGUUUGGAUCAAUCACAGAUAUACCUUUGAUCAAUCACAACCAUUCACUUUGGACCAUUCACAGCCUUGCCAGUAAUCAUAGUCAGUCCACCAAGGGAAGUAGUCUUCCUCUGGUUAAAGUACAAAUGGUUUACGGUUACAAGAAGGACGACAUAGUCUGCUGUAAAGAGUCACGGCUAGGCCUGGGUUCUCAGGAGCCAGGGAGGGCAGUUGCAGUUUUUUAUAGACCUGGAGCAAGGCAUCAUGGGGUGCUCAAAACAGCUGAUGCAGGUGGGAAGGUGGUCUGACUGUUUGGCCAUCCUUUUUCUCAUUACUACAGAGGCAAGAGAGGCCAAUAGCUAGUAAUGAGGGAACCAAGCUGCCCUAUCCCCCACCAUUUUUGUUUAUUUACAGGAAAAUGAUUUCAACAAUGCUUUCAACCAUAUUUUACCCCAGCUAAUGCCCAAGGGGAGAUGGGACCCUCUUGUGUCUCACUUGGAUCCCACUUUUCUGCAUGCUUGGCAACCCUUACUUAUUUAUGGUCGUUCAUAUGAGUGUGCACACACUCCUGUUUGAAAUUGAACUCAUCCCAUGAUUACUUGAAAGUCAAAUAACUUGGCAGAGAAAACAUUUGGAAUAUUAUAAAGCACUGUGGAGAUGCUUUUAUAUGUUUAAAUUGAAAUCAGACUUAAAUCAUACAUUCAUUUUUCCUUAGUUGUUUCUGAGACAUGCUGUGAAGUAAGAUUCACUUCUGACAAACUAUGAUGUAGACUAGGAGGUGGCUCAGCUGGGAAAGGUGCUUGGCAUUCAGGAUUAUAUGAAUUUGAUGCCCACAACCCACAUGAUAGAGAGAACUAACUUUCACAUAUUUUCCUCUAAACUCCACAUAUGUGCUAUGGUACUAAUCCAUUUAUACACCCAUGUACACACAGUAGAUAAUUGUAAUAAUAAAAAUGUCCAUAGAGCCAUCCAUAUAUGAUGGCUCUCACCAAUCCCAGUACUCAGCAGACUGAGACCAGGAGGAUUUCUGUAAAUUUUAUUUUAUUUUUUUAAAGAUUUAUAUGUAAGUACACUGUAGCUGUCUUCAGACACACCAGAAGAGGGCAUCAGAUCUCAUUUCGGAUGGUUGUGAGCCACCAUGUUGUUGCUGGGAUUUGAACUCAGGACCUUUGGAAGAGCAGUCAGUGCUCUUAGACGCUGAGCCAUCUCACCAGCCACCAAAUUUCUGUAAAUUUUAACGUCUAACCUGGGUUACAUAGUGAGUUCCAGGCCAGCCUUAGCUACAUAAUGAAACCCUGUCUCAGAAAACAGCAACAAAACAGCAGCAGCAGCAGCAACAACAAAACCCAACCAAACAGAAAAAAACAAAACAAAACAAAACAAAAACAAAACAAAAACCCAGUUUUGAAUCUUUAAUCUUUGGUAUGUUUCUGGAAUUUUGUAAUAGAAACUCAAACAUGAAUCUUUGUAAAAUUGGAGUAAAAUAAAAAAGAUAGGGCUGAUGAAUAAAGGAACUUGCUGCCUAGCCUGACAGUCAUCCCCAGGACCUAUGUGGUAGAUGAAGAGAAAUACCAAGUUUCCUCUGCUCUCCACAUGUGCUGUGGCACUUACAUACACCUACAGACGUACACAGCUGUUCCGGGAAAAGCAAAGGACUGAUGUUAGGUAUGUCAAAGAAGAAGAGCGUACAGUUUAGUAUGGAGGAGGCAAGAAGCCAUGGUGCUGCUCAGGGAAACUGCACAUUCUGUAUUUGACAUUUAACUAGUGUGUGUGAAUCACUGCAGGACAAUGACACUAAGGAGAAAUAAAUUCAAAUAACCCAAGAUUGUGCUUUGCUUAGGUUACCUCAAAGUCCUCCACUGUUGGGGCAGUAAUUUGUGUAUCAACUCAAUUGGCUACUUUUCUAUUAAAAACCCUUCCCAUAGUUUCUUUAAUAUCUUGGCAUAGUGUAGGUAGUGAUAGGCUAUGGGCGUGUGAAAAUGAGACUAAAGAUGCACUGGAGUUUGUUAUUUUGGGCUCUAAACAUCCUCAUAUGGUGUGCAUUCCAGGCUAGUAAACAAAGCAGUGAUAUGAGUCAGGGUUCCUCUCUGUCUUGAAAGCAGACUAUAGCGAGCCACUGGUGGUAGUACUCUGUCAGAAUGGAGGCAGUUAGAGUAUUCAAGUGAGAGGGGACUUGGUCCAUGAAGUAGCUACAUGGUUAGAAUCUGAGAACAUUUAGAAGGUGGAAGCCGAACAUACUGCUGAGUGGUUCAGUGUGGGCUUUGCAAGGAGAGGAGGGGUCAAAAGGACUCGAAGCAUACUGUCUAUACAGCUGAAGGUUAGCAAGUAGCCACCAGGACAGCCGGCUCGCCACUAGUCUGGUUUCCCCUAGGUAACUUUGCAGCACCUAUUACAUGUUCAAGUUGAAAUAUCAUUUAGACAGAUAAGUAUGAGUAUGGAGCUCAGAAUUCAAUACUGUGAAAACUUUUGUACAUAUCUCUCUUUCUGUCACACAUAAUGUGAAACUUAAAUA